rnacentral:rRNA from 1 species
UACGGAGGGUGCAAGCGUUAUCCGGAUUCACUGGGUUUAAAGGGUGCGUAGGUGGGUCUGUAAGUCAGUGGUGAAAUCUCCGAGCUUAACUCGGAAAUUGCGGUGGAUACUAUUGUUCUUGAAUACUGUUGAGGUUAGCGGAAUAUGUCAUGUAGCGGUGAAAUGCAUAGAUAUGACAUAGAACACCAAUUGCGAAGGCAGCUGGCUAAACAGAUAUUGACGCUGAGGCACGAAAGCGUGGGGAUCAAACAGG